GGCUCAGAUUGAACGCUGGCGGCAUGCUUUACACAUGCAAGUCGAACGGCAGCGGGGGCUUCGGCCUGCCGGCGAGUGGCGAACGGGUGAGUAAUGCAUCGGAACGUGCCCAUGUCGUGGGGGAUAACGUAGCGAAAGCUACGCUAAUACCGCAUACGUCCUGAGGGAGAAAGCGGGGGAUCUUCGGACCUCGCGCGAUUGGAGCGGCCGAUGUCGGAUUAGCUAGUAGGUGAGGUAAAGGCUCACCUAGGCGACGAUCCGUAGCGGGUCUGAGAGGAUGAUCAGCCACACUGGCACUGAAACACGGGCCAGACUCCUACGGGAGGCAGCAGUGGGGAAUAUUGGACAAUGGGCGCAAGCCUGAUCCAGCCACGCCGCGUGAGUGAUGAAGGCCUUCGGGUUGUAAAGCUCUGUGGGGAGGGGCGAAAACGGCCGGUAAGAAACGACCGGUCCUUGACGGUACCUCCUUAGCAAGCACCGGCUAACUCUGUG
rnacentral:rRNA from 1 species